CUCUCUUUUGGUUUGUCGUUCCAGUGGUGAGCAAACUUCAUAAAAGGUUCUGACUUUUAACCACUGACGCCCUGCACCCACCGGACAUUUAGCUAAUGCACUAAAUUCAACAUUCACUGCAAGUAAAAUAUGUAUUAUGUUUUAUAAAAAGUAUAUUACCUUAAACAGACACAAAUUUAUUAUUAAACAUUUAGCAGGAGCUUCAGGACGGCAGCCUGGGAUUUUGAUGCUUAAAGAAUCAGGUUAGACUUUAAUCAAGUGUUUGGAGGAUCCAUGUUUCUUUGAGCUGAUAGUUAAUGAUGAAACCUGCAGGUUUGACUGGGCAGCAGCUUUUACUCCAUCCUGAACACCAAGCGUCUGUUUAAGCUGCUUUAAAAGCUUCGUGUCUCUUUCUGCUUCAGCUCCAUGAAACCAAGACGAAUCCAGAUGCUUCAGGUCCUCAUCUUUAGUUCCCUUCGGUGGCGUUUCAACGCUCAGCUGAUACAUGGCUUCCCUUAUCUGUGAAGUCAGGCUGUGAAAUUGUUUUUGACAGAGAGAAAGUCGGUGUUUCCCCUCAGCGACGCUGUGAAACGAGCAGCGGCCGUCCUUCUAAAUGCAGAGCUGCCAUUAUGUAGAGAGUAAUGAAGCGUAGUGAGAGGCGGCGGUGGCAGCAGCAGCAGCAGGGGGCGGUGGAGCCCCGAGACGGCAUUAAUGCUCUCUGUUCCCUGUCAYACUCUGGAUUCACCGACCAGACGAGGCGAGGCAGGAGGAAACCUCAGCAAGACAGAGACCCUGUUUCUCUAUGAAAUGUUAAUAACAGAUUUAAUCCUGUCUGACCCUCUAUGAAGGCUGGAUCUCACUAGUAAAAUGUGAUUCCUAUAUUUAUGUAGAUGAUUAAAUAAGAUCACAACCUUCAUGAACAUUAGCUUAACGGACAAAAAUCUAAAACUAGUUUGAGGAAAGAGAAAAACCCACAGGAGAGACGGUGAAGUUUCAGAGAUGAGCGCUGGAAACAGAUCCUCUUACAGGCUGCUGUCGCCAUGGCAGCAGCCCGCUGAGAUCUUCCCUUCAUCUCUGGCUUUUCUUGGCCUUUUUGUCUUCAGCAUCACGAGGCGACAACAGCGGUUUGCUGGCUGCUGAACGUCUGCAGUGCCGGCUGCUGGUGGCAGCUGCCAGUCAGGCUGCUCAUCGUGGAUCCGGGACCAGACCUCCAUCCGUCUGCUGCAGCGUUCCCUGGACGUCACCGGCUCCAGGGCAGCUGAUUGAAACAACCAUAGACCUGCAGGUCACCGGCUCCAGCCCUAAAUAAACGGAAUAUUAAUGAACGAACAGAAACGUGUGCAGAUUACAGAUGUCCACCCAACGGACAGACCAAAACGGGAACCAAAGGAGCAGCGAGGAAGAGGAGGCCGACCGAACCGGAGCAUAAGGGAGGAGAAGCGUCUCUUUCCCCAGCAGGACGGGUUCAUGUGUCAGGAUGAUGAACCGUUUGACCUUCAGGUCAAGGUCGUCUGAGCAGCACCGGGUCAAACCUGCCAGAGAUUCUGACUCUGUUCUUCUGCUGACCAACGAUAAAACCUUCAUUUAAUCAACAAGGAAAUCCUGUUUACAUUAAUACAGAAACUUUAUUAGUAGCUUUACGUCUUUACAAAAAGAGCUUCAUGUUUGUGGUUUACAGUCUAAAUAUUUCUACCACAACCAUUGAAUAAAAAUAACCAGAUUUAAAAGUCCUUCUUUAAACAUGUAAAAGUACUCGCAUAUUUAACACAUUAUUAUAGACACAUUUAUAUAAACUGUCUUUACAUGAGACACAGUAAUCCAUGACUUUUCCUGUAAAUGAAUAUUUGAACAGGUACAGUGUUUCCACAACGAGUUUAUAUCUCUAUAUGAUGGAGAUGUUAGUCAAACGGCUUUUUCCAGAUGAUGUGAGACGAUAAGCAGAAAACGUCUCCGGCAGCUUCUGCUUUAAGCUAAGCACCGACUUCAGGAACCACAGAUUCAAACCUCACAGCUCUGAUGUUCAUCGGAUUAUUACAUUUCCUCUGGGAGAAGCAGAUGUUGUCUCUGCCUGCAGAUUAAUGCUGGAGCUCCUGGUUGACUCCAGUUGGACAGAGAGACGUUGGGACUCACUGCUGCUUCACAUGACGGGUCAGAGAUGAUUCUGAUUAUUGCAUUUCUGGACCACAUGUGGUGCUCUACGCUUUCUGAAUCUUUUUCAUCUAAAUGAUAAUAAAAAUAAUUGUUUCACCAGAAACUUUAUGGCCUCCUGCAGCUGCAGCAGUAGAGCAGGAAACCUGAAGGAGCUGCAGAGUUUUACUGCGUUUCCCUGCUGAAUAAAACGUUUUUGUGUUCCAAAUGUAAGUUUUGUGAUGAAUGGGGUUCGACGUUGGUAUGGAUGAUCCUCCACACAUUUUGCUGACCGGUUUGUCUGAACGGACUUUGCUGCUCAGACCCAGUUUAACUCCGUCAGGCUCCAGUGAAGUCAGAACCGAAUCCUGACAUGGAGAAAGGUUUUCCCUAAACAUCUGGUUUUACGUCAGAUUCGCUCUAAUUCAUUUCCCUUGUUACUUCUGGACGUCUCUUCAGGUCAACACAUUUCUAACAUUGUUUAGUAAAAACUAGUUUCAAAGAUUUUAGUUUUAUUUGUGCUUCUAAUUAUUUUUUGCCUGAAGCUGCAAAUCUUAACUAAAACAUAGUUAAAUAUUCUGUAGGCGUUUCUUUAUGAAUGGUGAUGAUUGUAAAGUGACGGAUGCUUCAGUAACUCAGCUGGCAGUGGAGAAACAUUUUGGAUUUUAGGCUGUUAUUUUUCUCUCCUCUCGGUCAGAAGGGUCAGAAAUCAUCUGGUUGCCUUCAAGCUGGAGCCAGUUAUGCUAACAUCCAGU